rnacentral:rRNA from 1 species
UAGGGAAUCUUCCGCAAUGGACGCAAGUCUGACGGAGCAACGCCGCGUGAGUGAAGAAGGAUUUCGGUUCGUAAAACUCUGUUGUUAGAGAAGAACAGCGCAUAGAGUAACUGUUAUGCGUGUGACGGUAUCUAACCAGAAAGCCACGGCUAACUACGUGCCAGCAGCCGCGGUAAUACGUAGGUGGCAAGCGUUGUCCGGAUUUAUUGGGCGUAAAGCGAGCGCAGGCGGUCAAUUAAGUCUGAUGUGAAAGCCCCCGGCUCAACCGGGGAGGGUCAUUGGAAACUGGUUGACUUGAGUGCAGAAGAGGAGAGUGGAAUUCCAUGUGUAACGGUGAAAUGCGUAGAUAUAUGGAGGAACCCCAGUGGCGAAGGCGACUCUCUGGUCUGUAACUGACGCUGAGGCUCGAAAGCGUGGGUAGCAAACAGG